AGACGUCUGGACCACAAUAUCAGUCUCUACAAGGGUGUGGUUCAAAGAUCUCAGUUACAACUAGCAAGGUUCCAGUGGUUGUAUGAAGAUGAUCUACUGCGCUGUCCCUUGAGAGGCAACAGCAUGAUCAGCCCUGCUAAAGCCAGCAUCAUGAACGACGUGAGAAAGCGGGUUCAGUCUCUUCGUCAACUGGAGCCAGCUGUAAAAGCCAUAGAAGACAAGAUCAUAACUCAACAGUCCAGCAUCGAACAGAGACUCUAGUGGGCAGCAGGAGCUAAUCCAGCCUUGAACCCUGUACUAAAGGAGUUUGACAAGACUGUCAAUGAUAGAAAACAACUGCUA